rnacentral:rRNA from 1 species
AUGAACGCUAGCUACAGGCUUAACACAUGCAAGUCGAGGGGCAGCAUGGUCUUAGCUUGCUAAGGCCGAUGGCGACCGGCGCACGGGUGAGUAACACGUAUCCAACCUGCCGUCUACUCUUGGACAGCCUUCUGAAAGGAAGAUUAAUACAAGAUGGCAUCAUGAGUCCGCAUGUUCACAUGAUUAAAGGUAUUCCGGUAGACGAUGGGGAUGCGUUCCAUUAGAUAGUAGGCGGGGUAACGGCCCACCUAGUCUUCGAUGGAUAGGGGUUCUGAGAGGAAGGUCCCCCACAUUGGAACUGAGACACGGUCCAAACUCCUACGGGAGGCAGCAGUGAGGAAUAUUGGUCAAUGGGCGAGAGCCUGAACCAGCCAAGUAGCGUGAAGGAUGACUGCCCUAUGGGUUGUAAACUUCUUUUAUAAAGGAAUAAAGUCGGGUAUGGAUACCCGUUUGCAUGUACUUUAUGAAUAAGGAUCGGCUAACUCCGUGCCAGCAGCCGCGGUAAUACGGAGGAUCCGAGCGUUAUCCGGAUUUAUUGGGUUUAAAGGGAGCGUAGAUGGAUGUUUAAGUCAGUUGUGAAAGUUUGCGGCUCAACCGUAAAAUUGCAGUUGAUACUGGAUAUCUUGAGUGCAGUUGAGGCAGGCGGAAUUCGUGGUGUAGCGGUGAAAUGCUUAGAUAUCACGAAGAACUCCGAUUGCGAAGGCAGCCUGCUAAGCUGCAACUGACAUUGAGGCUCGAAAGUGUGGGUAUCAAACAGGAUUAGAUACCCUGGUAGUCCACACGGUAAACGAUGAAUACUCGCUGUUUGCGAUAUACAGCAAGCGGCCAAGCGAAAGCGUUAAGUAUUCCACCUGGGGAGUACGCCGGCAACGGUGAAACUCAAAGGAAUUGACGGGGGCCCGCACAAGCGGAGGAACAUGUGGUUUAAUUCGAUGAUACGCGAGGAACCUUACCCGGGCUUAAAUUGCAGAUGAAUUACGGUGAAAGCCGUAAGCCGCAAGGCAUCUGUGAAGGUGCUGCAUGGUUGUCGUCAGCUCGUGCCGUGAGGUGUCGGCUUAAGUGCCAUAACGAGCGCAACCCUUGUUGUCAGUUACUAACAGGUUCCGCUGAGGACUCUGACAAGACUGCCAUCGUAAGAUGUGAGGAAGGUGGGGAUGACGUCAAAUCAGCACGGCCCUUACGUCCGGGGCUACACACGUGUUACAAUGGGGGGUACAGAGGGCCGCUACCACGCGAGUGGAUGCCAAUCCCAAAAACCUCUCUCAGUUCGGACUGGAGUCUGCAACCCGACUCCACGAAGCUGGAUUCGCUAGUAAUCGCGCAUCAGCCAUGGCGCGGUGAAUACGUUCCCGGGCCUUGUACACACCGCCCGUCAAGCCAUGGGAGCCGGGGGUACCUGAAGUGCGUAACCGCGAGGAGCGCCCUAGGGUAAAACUGGUGACUGGGGCU